rfam:Danio rerio chromosome 7, GRCz11 reference primary assembly.
UCAAAGGCUCUUUUAAGAGCCACCCACAUUUUCAUAAAAGAGGCUU